ensembl:lncRNA
UGCCAUGGAAACAGGGCUACCGACAACACUGGCAAGCUGCAAGCUCCGUUUCUUGCUGCUGUUUUCACUGCUUUCGAUUCUUUCGUGCUUGAUGGUCUUCUGCAUCCCAGAGUCUGAGCAAACCUCCUCGAAAUACACAUCGUGGACCAAAGAGGAAACUGACGACACACAGACAGACAAGACAGAGAAGGUUACUUCUGGUAUGAAACAAGGUUUCAGCUUUGAAAUUUUGUCUUUUUUUUUUUUUUUUUUAAGAAAUUCAAACAAUAAAUACUGUUUUGUGCUGUUUUAAUGUGUUGUGACAGAUCGCUGUAGCGCCUCAGUUCAAGCAGCACACAUGAACUGAUGGAUUCAAAUUUAAUUAAAGCAUGAAAUAAAAGAUGUCACACGUCUUUAUACA